rnacentral:rRNA from 1 species
GAUGAACGCUGGCGGCGUGCCUAAAACAUGCAAGUCGAGCGGUAAGGCCUCUUCGGAGGUACACGAGCGGCGGACGGGUGAGUAACACGUGGGAAUCUACCCCAAACUGAGGGAUAAGCACCGGAAACGGUGUCUAAUACCGCAUAUGGUCUUCGGAUCAAAGCUUUGGCGGUUUGGGAAGAGCCCGCGUAAGAUUAGCUAGUUGGUGAGGUAAAGGCUUACCAAGGCGACGAUCUUUAGCUGGUUUGAGAGGAUGAUCAGCCACACUGGAACUGAGACACGGUCCAGACUCCUACGGGAGGCAGCAGUUAGGAAUUUUCCACAAUGGGCGCAAGCCUGAUGGAGCAACGCCGCGUGCAGGAUGAAGGUUUUCGGAUUGUAAACUGCUUUUAUGUGCGAAGAAUAUGACGGUAACACAUGAAUAAGGAUCGGCUAACUCCGUGCCAGCAGCCGCGGUAA